CCUUGAUGUUAAGGAGACUAAUAUUUUUUUCAAAGGGAAACAAUGCCUCAUCAAUUCUGGCCUCUAAGUUAAGACAUAAAAUUUCCCAAACAAGAACUGAACAUUUAAUAAAUGAUGAUGAUACCAAAACGACCAAUCCUAAUAAAAUUAGCAAAAUUAGCAAUACCUUUGCUAUUAUAAAAGACUAUACAAUUUGGCUAUGGGCCCUAAUGUAAAACGACCCACAUAUAAAACAAUAUGUUCAUUCUUGGAUAGAAUCCCGGUGAAAUACAUUUAUAUUAAUUUCUAUAUUAGCAAGGUACAUUUCUCAGUAUGUACCAUUGGGUAAUAAAUAAAGAAACAAAUUGAAACCAAUGUGGCUUAGUAGCAUAGGCAUGCGCAGCAGCACCCCAUUUAAGUAAGUUUAGGUGAGUGCAG